UGAUGUUGGCAGGUGGUAGUAUUUUCUUUCAAAGCCUUCACAUUAUUGGCUAAAUAAAUUCAUAUGCUAUCACUGAUUGAAUGAGGCUAAUCUUUCAUUUGUCAAUAUCAUUAAGUGUCAUGUAAUAAUUUGGCCUGUACCAAAAGUUGAUAAAUCCGUGAAUUCGUUCGAAAAUUUUCCUGUGUAGUCCGUGAGAAUUUCAAAUAGUAUCCUUUCCAUUCUCCUAUAAAUAGAAGCUCAUUCCUUCUUUAUUUCUUAUGAAUUCACUGAAACUCUAGAGAGAGAAAUUAUAGAGAGAAAGAAGAAAAGUAUUCUGCUACUUCACUACUCCUACAUCCAGUACUCUUCUUCUUAAGGUAAGGGGUAUUAUUUCUUUUGUAUUCAUGAAGAUAACUUCUGUUAUUCCAUUAUUUAUUAUUCUGUUGGAAUAACCGGUAUACGCGGGCUACCCUAUACUUGGUGAAAUUAAUCUGUUAUUCCAUUCUUUAUUAUUCUGUUGGAACAUCCUGUCUGUGCUUUACGCAUGACCUGGUUCCGUUAUUUAUUAUUCUGUUGGAACAUCAUGUCUGUGCGUUUUACGCCGGACCUGGUUUCGUCUUUAUUAUUCUGUUGGAAUAUCCUG
rnacentral:lncRNA from 1 species